rnacentral:rRNA from 1 species
UACGGAGGGUGCAAGCGUUAUCCGGAUUCACUGGGUUUAAAGGGUGCGUAGGAGGGCAGGUAAGUCCGUGGUGAAAUCCCCGAGCUUAACUUGGGAACUGCCAUUGAUACUAUCAGUCUUGAAUACCGUGGAGGUCAGUGGAAUAUGUCAUGUAGCGGUGAAAUGCUUAGAUAUGACAUAGAACACCAAUUGCGAAGGCAGCUGGCUACACGAAUAUUGACACUGAGGCACGAAAGCGUGGGGAUCAAACAGG